rnacentral:rRNA from 1 species
ACGAACGCUGGCGGCGUGCUUAACACAUGCAAGUCGAGCGGUAAGGCCCUUUCGGGGGUACACGAGCGGCGAACGGGUGAGUAACACGUGGGUGACCUGCCCUCAGCUCUGGGAUAAGCCUGGGAAACCGGGUCUAAUACCGGAUAUGACUCCAUGACGCAUGUUGUGGGGUGGAAAGCCUUGUGCGGCUGAGGAUGGGCCCGCGGCCUAUCAGCUUGUUGGUGGGGUGANGGCCUACCAAGGCGACGACGGGUAGCCGGCCUGAGAGGGCGACCGGCCACACUGGGACUGAGACACGGCCCAGACUCCUACGGGAGGCAGCAGUGGGGAAUCUUGCGCAAUGGGCGAAAGCCUGACGCAGCGACGCCGCGUGAGGGAUGACGGCC